CCCGAGACUCGGUGAGGCUUUCCUGGGUCAACAAGAACCCUCGUCACCAUCACCACACCGCGUGCAUGCCGGCUGGGCUACGCCGCUGGGCUGGGCUACGCCGCUGGGCUGGGCUACGCCGCUGGGCUGGGCUACGCCGCUGGGCUGGGCUACGCUGCUGCUCGUUCACCGGUUGGGGACUCGUGCUUGGAAGGCGAUGAGCUCGAAUCCCUGACUCAACGACGCGCACAAACGUGAGCGAUCCCCUCCGCUUCCCUCGGAAGCCGAGUGUUCUCAAGACCACGGAGCAUCUCAUCCCAGGUCCCCGUGGAUCCGGGGCUGCUCUCCGUGCCGCUGCUGGUGUCGCUGCUGGGCGACGGGAAGGGGUUGUCGAUGGCCUGGAAGCCGUCCUGGGGGCCCAGCAGGCUGAUGGAGGUGCCGCGGCAAACCAGGAGGCCCAACGGCCGUGUCUCUCCAGACAUGCGUGACCAGCGUGGUGAAAUGUUGCCAAGGAAGCCCCACAAUCCAAUGGGGCAUGGGAAGGGCCUCGUCCAACACUGGGUUACCAACAGGGCCGUACGCCACGUACCUCGAAGGUACUCGGUAGCCCCGUCCAACACCAGGUUCACCAGGUGGUCGAACCCCUUGAGGA